rnacentral:lncRNA from 11 species
GCACAAUACUGAUUGACUGAGAAGCAAAGGGAUUAACAAUUUCUCCGAAAAGGAAAACGGAAUUGCUUGUCAUAAAGCAGACAUGCCUGACUGGAACCAUGAAUAGGAACUUUGCACAAUGCCAUUUCUAGUAAAGAAAGCCCAAAGAGAGAAGCGUAUAUAAACAAGAAAGACCAAUGAGCAUUCAAAAGACGCAGGAAGACAACCGUCACCAUUAAAAGAGACCAGCCUAGAAUCGUGGACUCAACCCCAGUCUCAGCGCCGGGUUACGUUUCAUCUGCCGGAUGGUUCUCAGGAAAGUUGCAGCGACAGCGGCGUCGGAGACCACGAACCCAGCAGCACCGCAAGUACGUCACACCCUUUGCCCCUUGGUUUCCCACAAGAAGAGUACUACGAACAGACCUCGCCCAACAGCCGGACAGAAGGAGACGGCAAUUCGGAUCCAGAAUCAACAAUUGAGGUGAAUCUCCAAAAGGCGCUCGCCGAAGCUUCUGAAACCUGCACGCAGGAGUGUCUCAUCCUUGGCCAUUCUGACAAUUGCUGGAUGCCGCCUUCAUUGACCCAGUUCCAGCAAUCCAAUCCUCCUCUGCCGAGCUUUGGCUUCCAGCAAGGAUGGGGCCGAGGAGCCAUGCCCGAAGGAAGGCACACCCUGGGGAGGCACCUUCCCAAGGAUGACACCGAGAAAGGCCAAGGAGGGUGCCGGCCACAGUUCUACAACACCUGCGAAAGACUUUGCGCCAGCGAGGACCCCGUCAAAGUUAUCCCUCUUGCAAACUUCCUGCCUACUCAGGCCGUCCCCGUGUCUGGAAGCAGCACCACUUUGAUACAUGAGCACCAGCUAUAAGGGCAUAUUCCUGUCAAAGCGAGCUCUUUGGAGCAUAAAUGUGCGAGUGUAUAUAGUCACAGCUUGAUGCAAUUUUAAUCCUUAUGCAAACCCCUUCGGGUUUGUGAAUAUUUAUGUAUAUAGAAUUCUGCAUUGAAUCUGAAAAGCUAUAUCCUAAGUAACAAGAUAAAGAUAACUCGGCUUACUCGGCAACUAACAGUAUGCAUAACAAUAACACAAACCACAGGUGUGGCUCUUUUCCCGAUAUGUUGUCAUGGCACAAAAUAUCAUUUGAAGUUUGAGAUGAAGAUCCACUUAAGAGACAGUAAAAGACAUGAGAAUUUUUCAGAUCACCUCUUUUCAAUUAGACCGUUGUUUUAUUUAUACAGACAGGUCCCAAGUUACAAACAUCCGACUUACAUGUGACUCAUAGUUGAGACAACAGGAAGCAAGGAAAAUCCAACCCAGGGAAGGGAAAUCUAAUUCUGAAAUACAGUAGAGUCUCACUUAUCCAACAAUUGUUGUAGAUAAAACAACAAUGGGAGAUAAAACAAAAGCAGGAGCUAACAACGGGAGCUCAUAUUGCCUUGCCAGCAUGGCCAUACAUAUACAUGGUCUGAUAUCAAUGUUUAAAGAACAACUAGUUCAAAUGGGAGGCAGUUAAUGUAAUAUAAAGAAAAACACAUAGAGUCUCACUUAUCCAACAUAAACGGGCUGGCAAAAGGUUGGAUAAGCAAAUAUGUUGGAUAAUAAGGAGGGAUUAAGGAAAAGCCUAUUAAACAUCAAAUUAGGUUAUGAUUUUACAAAUUAAGCACCAAAACAUCAUGUUAUACAACAAAUUUGACAGGAAAAGUAGUUCAAUAUGCAGUAAUGUUAUGUUGUAAUUACUGUAUUUACGAAUUUAGCACCAAAAUAUCACAAUACAGUAGAGUCUCAC